CCCAUCACGGAGCCCACUUUAUGCGAUGAUGAGGACAUCACGGAUGCUUAUAUUCAGGAGCCCGACGAUACUAUGGUAAGAAAAUAUUUUUGACUUAACACGUACAUUACUAAUAUACAUUUUCAUAUGCUAAGCUUAGUAAUUUUUUUGUAGGUGCUGACGGACCGACGACCCCUUCUAUUGAUCCUGCCAGCUCUACAGACGAUCAUGCUGUUGCGCAUCCUCACAUAAAAAGGCGACGUGAUGAGAAUGAUCCUGAUAGUGUACCCAGGCGACAUGGGAUGCGCCUCAGGCCAGCAGCUGCA
rnacentral:lncRNA from 1 species